AGCGGUCCGUCUCUAUAUAAUUUGGGCACAGCGCAGUCGUCGGCCUUUUAGAGAGGGAUGCCCGGUGGAGAGGCCGAGCGGGUGGAGCUUCCUUCCACCAUGUGCCACGCUGUGGCGGUUCUAUCGGACCCUCCCUGACAAGGUUCCUGGAGGACAUGAGUAGCUCUUAAUCCUAGUCUGCAGAAGACCGCCAUACCACUGCUUGCUGGAAAGUGGUGGAGCUUCCUUCCACCAUGUGCCACGCUGUGGCGGUUCUAUCGGACCCUCCCUGACGAGGUUCCUGGAGGACAUGAGUAGCUCUUAAUCCUAGUCUGCAGAAGACCGCCAUACCACUGCUUGCUGGAAAGUGGUGGAGCUUCCAUCCACCAUGUGCCACGCUGUGGCGGUUCUAUCGGACCCUCCCUGACGAGGUUCCAGGAGGACAUGAGUAGCUCUUAAUCCUAGUCUGCAGAAGACCGCCAUACCACUGCUUGCUGGAAAGUGGUGCUCCGCUCCCGGCAGCUGAGGACAGGGACGUCUCUGCAGGAUGGAGGCGAAAUAGAAGAUCUGAACCCCUUAAUCCUAAUGUGAAUCACUCAGAAUAAAACUUCUCCUGAAGCUUGA